UACGUAGGGUGCGAGCGUUGUCCGGAAUUAUUGGGCGUAAAGAGCUCGUAGGCGGUCUGUCACGUCGGCUGUGAAAUCCCGAGGCUCAACCUCGGGUCUGCAGUCGAUACGGGCAAACUAGAGUAUUGCAGGGGAGACUGGGAUUCCUGGUGUAGCGGUGAAAUGCGCAGAUAUCAGGAGGAACACCGGUGGCGAAGGCGGGUCUCUGGGCAAUAACUGACGCUGAGGAGCGAAAGCGUGGGGAGCGAACAGG
rnacentral:rRNA from 1 species